GACGAACGCUGGCGGCGUGCUUAACACAUGCAAGUCGAACGAAGUGGCGAACGGGUGAGUAACGCGUAAUCAACCUGCCCUUCAGAGGGGGACACCAGUUGGAAACGACUCCUAAUACCGCAUACGGAAGGAGGGGUUUGCGUCUGAUUAGCUAGUUGGAGGGGUAACGGCCCACCAAGGCGAUGAUCAGUAGCCGGUCUGAGAGGAUGAACAGCCACAUUGGGACUGAGACACGGCCCAGACUCCUACGGGAGGCAGCAGUGGGGAAUCUUGCGCAAUGGACGAAAGCCUGAUGCAGCCAUGCCGCGUGUCUGAAGAAGGCCUUCGGGUUGUAAAGUACUUUUGUCAGGGAAGCGGUACCCAAAGAAUAAGCACCGGCUAACUACGUGCCAGCAGCCGCGGUAAUAC
rnacentral:rRNA from 1 species